GCACUUGUAGCUCAACGGAUAGAGCAUUGGAUUCCGGAUCCAAAGGUUGGUGGUUCAAGUCCACUCAGGUGCA
rnacentral:tRNA from 1 species